rnacentral:rRNA from 1 species
GACGAACGCUGGCGGCGUGCUUAACACAUGCAAGUCGUACGGUAAGGCCCUUUCGGGGGUACACGAGUGGCGAACGGGUGAGUAACACGUGAGUAACCUGCCCACAACUUUGGGAUAACGCUAGGAAACUGGUGCUAAUACUGGAUAUGUGCUCCUGCUGCAUGGUGGGGGUUGGAAAGCUCCGGCGGGUGUGGAUGGACUCGCGGCCUAUCAGCUUGUUGGUGGGGUAGUGGCCUACCAAGGCGGCGGCGGGUAGCCGGCCUGAGAGGGUGACCGGCCACAUUGGGACUGAGAUAAGGCCCAGACUCCUACGGGGGGCAGCAGUGGGGAAUAUUGCACAAUGGGCGCAAGCCUGAUGCAGCAACGCCGCGGGCGGGAUGACGGCCUUCGGGUUGUAAACCGCUUUCAGCAGGGACGAAGCUUUUUGUGACGGUACCUGCAGAAGAAGCACCGGCUAACUACGUG